rfam:Candidatus Burkholderia calva strain TZHbot6 BTMBctg_19, whole genome shotgun sequence.
GAGGGACAGCCCCUCGGUGUCGGCGUACAGGCGCAGACACCAAACCACCCACUGCUGCUACGUUAAAGAGACGUGGUAGUGCGCGAAAUGGGAACGGUCGGGCAAGACCCGCAGU